GCAGCUGAAUUGUUGAAGGAUCCUUUCCUUUCUGAUUAUGAUGAGAACGAUCUUGAUAGUUGAUGCUUGUGUUCGAGUUCUGCUAUUUUACCGUAGUUGCAAAGACUUAAGUAUCAAAGGCUGCUUUGGGUUGGUUUCGUAAUGGGGCUGUUAUCCACAAGCUAUCAGCCGUCAACGCUGUUGAGUACUGUCCUUUGUACGUAGCUCGAGAUAACCUGCCUUCGUCUAACUCGGUAAGUGUGACAGUGUAAUAUAGUAAUCCAAGUGAGGUGUAAAGUCUGCACUUUAUUAAGUUGAAUAUGUUUGAUA
rnacentral:misc_RNA from 1 species